CCUACGGGAGGCAGCAGUGGGGAAUUUUGGACAAUGGGCGCAAGCCUGAUCCAGCCAUUCCGCGUGCAGGAUGAAGGCCUUCGGGUUGUAAACUGCUUUUGUACGGAACGAAAAGCUCUGGGUUAAUACCCCGGGGUCAUGACGGUACCGUAAGAAUAAGCACCGGCUAACUACGUGCCAGCAGCCGCGGUAAUACGUAGGGUGCGAGCGUUAAUCGGAAUUACUGGGCGUAAAGCGUGCGCAGGCGGUUAUACAAGACAGGCGUGAAAUCCCCGGGCUUAACCUGGGAAUGGCGUCUGUGACUGUAUAGCUAGAGUGUGUCAGAGGGGGGUGGAAUUCCACGUGUAGCAGUGAAAUGCGUAGAUAUGUGGAGGAACACCAAUGGCGAAGGCAGCCCCCUGGGAUAACACUGACGCUCAUGCACGAAAGCGUGGGGAGCAAACAGGAUUAGAUACCCUGGUAGUCCACGCCCUAAACGAUGCUGACUAGUUGUUGGGAAUUUACAUUCUCAGUAACGUAGCUAGCGCGUGAAGUCAGCCGCCUGGGGAGUACGGUCGCAAGAUUAAAACUCAAAGGAAUUGACGG
rnacentral:rRNA from 1 species